ensembl:lncRNA
AAAACGUAUCUGGUGUGGUGUGGCUGGCUUGUGCCUACUGCAGUAACACAUAGGGCAUUGUUUUACCUUCAAAGAAGACCAUGAGUUCCCAGCCCUGCAGAUGGGAACCUGCAACCCUCCCUCUGGGUGAGAUCCCUUCCCUAGCCAUGGAGACGAAGGAAUUUUUCCUUCUUUUCGUUCUGGAGGUGCACAACAGAUCAGCCCAUUUACUAACAGACUCAGCAUUGACACCAUUGUAUCCAUGGCAACAUACCAGCCUGCGCAAGCAUCCAAAGAUAUUAUGAAAAGCAGAAAUAUCGAAUGAUGACAACGAGUCACUUCAGACAAUAGAUGUUUCUCCUUUGUCAGAAUACAAGACUCAAGGCAGAAUUAAUCUCAGUUUUGAGGGUUUUUUUUUCAUUCAAAUCACUGGCUGGGGUAACUGAGAGGAAUGAGCACCCCAGAACUCUGACUGUUUUCUUUGAUUUGGGUUGGAGUACAGGUCUUUCAAAUGGAAAAUCCAAACUAAUAAUUGAAAAAGAAGUAGCCUACAUCAGCCCAAUGUAUUUCAGGGCUAAAACAUGUAGCUGGGAAACUGCUAGAUCGAUUUGUGAUUUGCCCAAUGGAGUUGUAUGAACUACUGCUUCCUUAUGAUGACAGUAGAUUUAAUAAGAUCUGACCAUUUUUUAUAUAACUUCAUCCAACUUCUGGCAUGGCAGAGACUCUGCUAAAGCAUCUGCAGAUGCUUCUCUUGACAGAUCCCAUGGGUUCUUCAGCUGUGCUUUCAAGAGAGAACAUUCAGGCACACAGGCCCCAUUUUAGAAGCUGGUUGCAGCAAACGUAUCAGUUCAUCAAACUGGGCACUUAUAUAAGGAAACAUCUGUAAUCUAGAUCAGAUAACUGCACAUGGAGUAUUGUUCUGUGCUGCUAGACAACUGUUGGCAAAUAUGGGUGUAAGUUACCGUGAAUUUACAGAUGUAAUGUACAUGCUGCCCCUCAGGACUCCACUCCUCAUUUUUCAUGUACAGAGCAGAACUUUAGAAUCACAUGCUGAUGAUGACCCUGAAUAAGGAGGUGUUAUGUGACACACAACAAAUCCACAGGUAGCCUUAAGGCAUUUAGGACUGUCUUCUUCAGGCCAGGGAAGUAUUUAAGCCAUGCUAAGCCAUGAUGAGUGUGCGUUCAUUGGUCAGACGGCAGGCUGAGGGCAUUCUCAAAUCUGGACUACUUCACUGCAUUCAUGGUUUGCAUAGCAGCUGAGCUUGAAGGAGAGUUUGAAGCUUGCUGAGGGACAGAUCCAAAGUACAUUUGGUAUUUAACCUCAAGCCACAGUUUUGGAGAGGCAAUGCAAUGUGAUUUGCAAGCAGAUCUUGAGUUUUCCUGAGGGCUGUGAUCAAUGAGCCUGAAGUCUUGCUGGGCUAGCAGCCAGCAGGGCAUUUGGGAAGUGUGUGGGGUGCAUGAGGCUACUCCCAAGUCCCUCUUCUUUCUUUAGACAGACCUCACCUCAUGGGCUUUGUUCUCUUCUCAUGGUUGAUCCAUAUAAGAGGGCAAGGUCUAUUGUGGCCCUCUGCAAAUCGCCUUAACUCUGCAGUGCUU